AUGUCAAGUCGAACGAUGAACCACUUCGGUGGGGAUUAGUGGCGAACGGGUGAGUAACACGUGGGCAAUCUGCCCUGCACUCUGGGACAAGCCCUGGAAACGGGGUCUAAUACCGGAUACUGAACCUCGCAGGCAUCUGUGAGGGUCGAAAGCUCCGGCGGUGCAGGAUGAGCCCGCGGCCUAUCAGCUAGUUGGUGAGGUAAUGGCUCACCAAGGCGACGACGGGUAGCCGGCCUGAGAGGGCGACCGGCCACACUGGGACUGAGACACGGCCCAGACUCCUACGGGAGGCAGCAGUGGGGAAUAUUGCACAAUGGGCGAAAGCCUGAUGCAGCGACGCCGCGUGAGGGAUGACGGCCUUCGGGUUGUAAACCUCUUUCAGCAGGGAAGAAGCGAAAGUGACGGUACCUGCAGAAGAAGCGCCGGCUAACUACGUGCCAGCAGCCGCGGUAAUACGUAGGGCGCAAGCGUUGUCCGGAAUUAUUGGGCGUAAAGAGCUCGUAGGCGGCUUGUCACGUCGGUUGUGAAAGCCCGGGGCUUAACCCCGGGUCUGCAGUCGAUACGGGCAGGCUAGAGUUCGGUAGGGGAGAUCGGAAUUCCUGGUGUAGCGGUGAAAUGCGCAGAUAUCAGGAGGAACACCGGUGGCGAAGGCGGAUCUCUGGGCCGAUACUGACGCUGAGGAGCGAAAGCGUGGGGAGCGAACAGGAUUAGAUACCCUGGUAGUCCACGCCGUAAACGGUGGGCACUAGGUGUGGGCAACAUUCC
rnacentral:rRNA from 1 species